UACGUAGGGUGCAAGCGUUGUCCGGAAUUAUUGGGCGUAAAGAGCUCGUGAGCGGUUUGUCGCGUCGGCUGUGAAAGCCCGGAGCUCAACUCCGGGUCUGCAGUCGAUACGGGCAGACUUGAGUGUUGCAGGGGAGACUGGAAUUCCUGGUGUAGCGGUGAAAUGCGCAGAUAUCAGGAGGAACACCGGUGGCGAAGGCGGGGUCUCUGGGCAACAACUGACGCUGAGGAGCGAAAGCGUGGGGGAGCGAACAGG
rnacentral:rRNA from 1 species